rnacentral:rRNA from 1 species
AAAAUUAAAAGGACGCGGUAACCUUGACCGUGAUAAUGUAGCAUAAUCAUUCGCCAUUUAAUUGAUGGAUAGUAUGAAUGGUUGAACGAAUAUUCCACUGUCUUAAAAAGAAAUAACUAAAAAUUAGAAUAAUAGUAAAGAUUCUAUUUAAAAUUGUAAGACGAAAAGACCCUAUAGAGCUUAACUAUAAGUUUUCUGAUAAUAAAAAAGAAAAUUUGGUAGUUUAGUUGGGGCGACUGUCUUUUAAAAAUAACAAAGACAAGCAAUAUUAAUAGGAAAAUUUAUUGUAUAAUUAAUAAAUUUAACAAUUACAAAAGUAGGCUAUAAUGACCCGUUAUUAUUACAUAAAAAAAAUAACGAUCAAUAAAUAAAAGCUACCUUAGGGAUAACAGGAUAAUUUUAUUUUAGAGAUCUAAUCGAAAAUAAAGUUUGUCACCUCUAUGUUGAAUUAAGA